rnacentral:lncRNA from 1 species
CUGCUUAUACUUUGGUCAUGUACUUCCAGCCUCAAGAACGGGGCGUUAGGGGUGAGAAUGGAUUGAAAUAACAUAUAUCACACACAGGAGUAAAAAAACAGGAUGGAAAAGUCACACUAAAAGUGCCAGACAUCUCAUGGUGGUUGGAGGCCAGCUUCAAAAAGUCCUGCAUUAUAAAGGAGCAUGGCUGCUUUAAAAUGGCUGCAGAAUGGAAGAUUUUCAGAAGUGGAUGUGAGCUCCUGUUGCACUGGUACCAAUGAAGUCCAUGCCCUGACCAGAGGUAGCUGGCUGCAGACCUGACUGGCAAGGGACUAGAUCAGGCAUCCACUUGCCUUCACUUUUGUUACUGGGGAUGACUUCCUGUGCCAACCAUCUCCUGGUACAAGACUCCAGCUAAAAUUCCAGCUAUUAUUGCUACAUUCCAG